rnacentral:rRNA from 1 species
GAUGAACGCUGGCGGCGUGCCUAAUACAUGCAAGUCGAGCGAACGGACGAGAAGCUUGCUUCUCUGAUGUUAGCGGCGGACGGGUGAGUAACACGUGGAUAACCUACCUAUAAGACUGGGAUAACUUCGGGAAACCGGAGCUAAUACCGGAUAAUAUUUUGAACCGCAUGGUUCAAAAGUGAAAGACGGUCUUGCUGUCACUUAUAGAUGGAUCCGCGCUGCAUUAGCUAGUUGGUAAGGUAACGGCUUACCAAGGCAACGAUGCAUAGCCGACCUGAGAGGGUGAUCGGCCACACUGGAACUGAGACACGGUCCAGACUCCUACGGGAGGCAGCAGUAGGGAAUCUUCCGCAAUGGGCGAAAGCCUGACGGAGCAACGCCGCGUGAGUGAUGAAGGUCUUCGGAUCGUAAAACCCUGUUAUUAGGGAAGAACAUAUGUGUAGGUAACUGUGCACAUCUUGACGGUACCUAAUCAGAAAGCCACGGCUAACUACGUG